CUCAGCUGUGGGCUCAGGGGCAGAGCUCUGGGACAUCUCCAUCCUGGCCUGGACCCCUCUCCUGCUCCCCCUCCUCACUCUCUGCACAGGUGC
rnacentral:pre_miRNA from 1 species